AUGUGUGGCAAUGACAAUGAGAACCUGUUUCACUCGCUGAUGGAGUGUGAGCAUGCCAUGCGAUUUUGGGAGGCAGCACAGCGUUUCUUUGGUAUUGAUAGACCACAUCUGCACCCAAUAUCAUGGUCUCGAGAUCUCCUAGAUCAGCGAUUAUUUAAGAAGGAGGAGGCGGCCAUCAUGAUUUCUGUAAUGUGGGCAGUAUGGCACUCAAGAAACAAUUACACACAUGGUGAUUUGGUUUAUCAACCUCUGAAAUCUAUGGUGAUUAUUGAGGAGAUUGUGCGGUCACUUGAGAUCCCGGACAGGAAGAAGACCCCAACCAUGACCAGACCGAGGUGGAUGCCACCAGAGGAGGGGUGGACUAAGAUCAAUACGGAUGGAGCAACGGAUAUGGGUCUCGUGCGAGGAGGAGCGGGCUAUAUUGCUCGAGAUCAUCAUGGUACUUUCAUUAGAGCUGGAGGCUCAAGGUACGUAUGA
rnacentral:rRNA from 1 species